rnacentral:rRNA from 1 species
CUUGGUCAUUUAGAGGAAGUAAAAGUCGUAACAAGGUUUCCGUAGGUGAACCUGCGGAAGGAUCAUUACUGAUUUGCUUAAUUGCACCACAUGUGUUUUGUUCUGGACAAACUUGCUUUGGCGGUGGGCCCCUGCCUGCCGCCAGAGGACAUAAACUUACAACCAAAUUUUUUAUAAACUUGUCACGAGAUUAUUUUUAAUAGUCAAAACUUUCAACAACGGAUCUCUUGGUUCUCGCAUCGAUGAAGAACGCAGCGAAAUGCGAUACGUAAUAUGAAUUGCAGAUAUUCGUGAAUCAUCGAAUCUUUGAACGCACAUUGCGCCCUCUGGUAUUCCGGAGGGCAUGCCUGUUUGAGCGUCGUUUCUCCCUCAAACCCCUAGGGUUUGGUGUUGAGCAAUACGACUUGGGUUUGCUUGAAAGAUGAUAGUGGUAUAAGGCGGAGAUGCUUGACAAUGGCUUAGGUGUAACCAAAAACAUUGCUAAGGCGGUCUCUGGCGUCGCCCAUUUUAUUCUUCAAACUUUGACCUCAAAUCAGGUAGGACUACCCGCUGAACUUAAGCAUAUCAAUAAGCGGAGGAAAAGAAACCAACAGGGAUUGCCUCAGUAGCGGCGAGUGAAGCGGCAAAAGCUCAAAUUUGAAAUCUGGCGUCUUUGGCGUCCGAGUUGUAAUUUGAAGAAGGUAUCUUUGGGCCCGGCUCUUGUCUAUGUUCCUUGGAACAGGACGUCACAGAGGGUGAGAAUCCCGUGCGAUGAGAUGGC